GCCCUCGUAGCCCAACGGCAGAGGCAACGGUCUGAGGGACCGUCCAGUGCGCGUUCGAGUCGCGCCGGGGGCA
rnacentral:tRNA from 2 species